rnacentral:rRNA from 1 species
GACGAACGCUGGCGGCGUGCUUAACACAUGCAAGUCGAGCGGUAAGGCCCCUUUUGGGGGGUACACGAGCGGCGAACGGGUGAGUAACACGUGGGUGACCUGCCUUCAGCUCUGGGAUAAGCCUGGGAAACUGGGUCUAAUACCGGAUAUGACCUUUGCCUGCAUGGGCGGGGGUGGAAAGAUUUGUUUUGGCUGGGGAUGGGCCUGCGGUCUAUCAGCUUGUUGGUGGGGUGAUGGCCUACCAAGGCGACGACGGGUAGCCGGCCUGAGAGGGCGACCGGCCACACUGGGACUGAGACACGGCCCAGACUCCUACGGGAGGCAGCAGUGGGGAAUAUUGCGCAAUGGGCGGAAGCCUGACGCAGCGACGCCGCGUGGGGAUGACGGCCUCGGUU